rnacentral:rRNA from 1 species
AUGCAUUGCGAUGACGGAGGAGAAUUUCUCACCUCCUCCCUCCGCACGCUUUUUUCCACCCUCGGCGCCUCAUUCCGCCUCUCCUGUCCUCACACGUCACCCCAAAACGGCAAGGUUGAACGGCUUCUUCGCACAACAAGCGACAUCCUCCGCGUCAUGCUCAUCCACGCAAACCUUCCGCCGCAGUUCUGGGUUGAGGCCCUUCACACUGACACCCACGUCCUCAAUCGUCGUCCCUCCUCUGCCAUCCAGAACGACACACCCCACCUUCGCCUAUUCGGCCACCACCCCACGUACGAUCAUUUACGUGUUUUUGGGUGCCUCUGUUUCCCUAACACAUACGCCACCAGCCCACAUAAACUUGCCCCACGCUCGGUUCGCUGCGUUUUCCUAGGAUACGCUCUCGAACACAAAGGCUAUCGGUGCCUGGAUCUCACUUCGCGACGCGUUAUCAUCUCUAGGCACGUUACGUUUGAUGAACAAACCUUUCCCUAUUCUUCCCCCGCACGU